rnacentral:rRNA from 1 species
GGCGGCACGGACUUCGGUCUGGUGGCGCGAGUGGCGAAAUUCGGGCACAAUGGUCGGAAACGUGCCUAGUAGCGGGGGAUAACUACGCGAAAGCGUAGCUAAUACUGCAUACGAAGACUUUCGGGGGAAAAGUUGGGAUCUUCGGGCUCCUGCACUGUUGUGGAGCGGCCGAGACGGGAUUAGCCAGUUGCGGGUAACGGCUCACCAAGGCGACGAUCCGUAGCUGGUUUGAGAGGACGACCAGCCACACUGGACUGAGAGCACGGCCCAGACUCGCAUGGGGAGGCAGUGGGGAAUUUUACCACGGGAAACUGAUCCAGCCAUCUGCGUGUGCGAUGAAGUGGCCUUCUGGUUAAAGCACUUUGCAGAAAGAAACGGCACGGGAUAACACCCCGCAACGACGGUACCUGCAGAAUAAGCGCCUGCUACCCAUGCGCCAGCAGCCGCGGUAUAAGGUAGGUGCAAGCGUUAUCAAUUUACUGGCAAAGCGUGCAGGCGGUUCGGAAAGAAAGAGCGUGAAACCCUGGUGAGCUUGACCUUCUGGAACUGCAUUUUUAAUUCGGUCGAGUUAGGGAGUGUGUCAGAGGGAGGUGGAAUUCCGCGUGUAGGCAGUGAAAUGCGUAGAUAUGCGGAGGAACACCGAUGGCGAAGGGUAUCUCCUGUAUACUCGACGCUCAUGCACGAAAGCGUGGGGAGCAAACAGGAUUAGAUACCCCCAGGUAGUUCCACGCCCUAAACGAUGUCAACCAGCUGUUGGGGCCUUCGGGCCUCGGUAGCGCAGCUAACGCGCGGUUGACCGCCUGGGGAGUGCCGGUCGCAAGGAUUAAAACUCAAAGGAAUUGACGGGGACCCGCACAAGCGGUGGAUGAUGUGAUUACUAAUUCGAUGCAACGCGAAAAACCUUACCUACCCUUGACAUGUCUGGAACCUCAGCGAGAUUUGGGAGUGCUCGCAAGAGAACCGGAACACAGGUGCUGCAUGGCUGUCGUCAGCUCGUGUCGUGAGAUGUUGCCAAGUCCCGCAACGAGCGCAACCCUUGUCAUUAGUUGCUACGAAGGGCACCCCCUAUCGAGACUGCCGGUGACAAACCGGAGGAAGGUGGGGAUGACGUCAAGUCCUCAUGGCCCUUAUGGGUAGGGCUUCACACGUCAUACAAUGGUCGGGACAGAGGGUACUCAACCCGCGAGGGGAGCCAAUCCCAGAAACCCGAUCGUAACCGAUCGCAGUCUGCAACUCACAUUCGCGUGAAGUCGGAAUCGCCAGUAAUCGCGGAUCAGCAUGUCGCGGUGAAUACGUUCCCGGGGUCUUGUACACACCGCCCGUCACACCAUGGGAGUGGGUUUUACCAGAAGUAGUUAGCCUUAACCGUAAGGAGGGCGAUUACCACGGUAGGAUUCAUGACUGGGGUGAAGUCGUAACAAGGCAG